rnacentral:rRNA from 1 species
GAUGAACGCUGGCGGCGUGCCUAAUACAUGCAAGUCGAGCGAACAGACGAGGAGCUUGCUCCUCUGACGUUAGCCGCGGACGGGUGUGUAACACGUGUAUAACCUACCUAUAAGACUGGGAUCACUUCGGGAAACCGGAGCUUAUACCGGAUAAUAUAUUGAACCGCAUGGUUCAUUAGUGAGUUACGGUUUUGCUGUCACUUAUAGCUGGUUCCGCGCCGCAUUAGCUAGUUGGUAAGGUAACGGCUUACCAAGGCAACGAUGCGUAGCCGACCUGAGAGGGGGAUCGGCCGCACUGGAGCUGAGACACGGUCAAGACGCCUACGGGAGGCAGCAGUAGGGAAUCUGCCGCAAUGGGCGAAAGCCUGACGGAGCAACGCCGCGUGAGUGAUGAAGGUCUUCGGAUCGUAAAACUCGGUUAUUAGGGAAGAACAAAUGUGGAAGUAAAUAUGCACGUCUUGACGGUACCUAAUCAGAAAGCAACGGCUAACUACGUG